rnacentral:rRNA from 1 species
GACGAACGCUGGCGGCGUGCCUAAUACAUGCAAGUCGAACGCUUCUUUCCUCCCGAGUGCUUGCACUCGAUUGGAAAGAGGAGUGGCGGACGGGUGAGUAACACGUGGGUAACCUACCCAUCAGAGGGGGAUAACACUUGGAAACAGGUGCUAAUACCGCAUAACAGUUUAUGCCGCAUGGCAUAAGAGUGAAAGGCGCUUUCGGGUGUCGCUGAUGGAUGGACCCGCGGUGCAUUAGCUAGUUGGUGAGGUAACGGCUCACCAAGGCCACGAUGCAUGGCCGACCUGAGAGGGUGAUCGGCCACACUGGGACUGAGACACGGCCCAGACUCCUACGGGAGGCAGCAGUAGGGAAUCUUCGGCAAUGGACGAAAGUCUGACCGAGCAACGCCGCGUGAGUGAAGAAGGUUUUCGGAUCGUAAAACUCUGCUGUUAGAGAAGAACAAGGACGUUAGUAACAGAACGUCCCCUGACGGUAUCUAACCAGAAAGCCACGGCUAACUACGUGCCAGCCGCCGCGGUAA